GACGAACGCUGGCGGCGUGCUUAACACAUGCAAGUCGAACGGAAAGGCCCAGCUUGCUGGGUACUCGAGUAGCGAACGGGUGAGUAACACGUGGGUGAUCUGCCCUGGACUCUGGGAUAAGCCUGGGAAACUGGGUCUAAUACCGGAUAUGACCUUACAUCGCAUGGUGUUUGGUGGAAAGCUUUUGCGGUUCAGGAUGGGCCCGCGGCCUAUCAGCUUGUUGGUGGGGUAAUGGCCUACCAAGGCGACGACGGGUAGCCGACCUGAGAGGGUGAUCGGCCACACUGGGACUGAGACACGGCCCAGACUCCUACGGGAGGCAGCAGUGGGGAAUAUUGCACAAUGGGCGCAAGCCUGAUGCAGCGACGCCGCGUGAGGGAUGACGGCCUUCGGGUUGUAAACCUCUUUCACCAGGGACGAAGCGUGAGUGACGGUACCUGGAGAAGAAGCACCGGCCAACUACGUG
rnacentral:rRNA from 1 species